GCCACGAGGCAGGCCAUAUUGAGGAAGAAGAUCAUGGAUGUCUGAGGAGACUAGGGAGAGAGAAAGACGGGAUUUCGAUAAGAGGAGUAGAGAGAGAAGGUAGAGAGAGAGUACUGCGAGGGUGUUGAAGGAAGCCAUUGUCGAUGCAGAGAGAGAAGUGAGGUGCUAAUGUAAAAGGGUUGUGAAGGGUUGAAUAAGAAGGGAAACUUGUGUUCCACGGCUUAGCGGAAUUAAAUGUUGAAGUGAUUAGACCGUUGGAUUUUGGACUGUGACGGUGAAAAUUUUUUUUGAAGAAUUCUAAACAGAAAUGAAAAAAAAUAAAAAUUUGUGUUGCAUUUGCAUGGUUUCGAGGAAUUAAAUGUUGUAGUGACUAUAUUGACGUUGGAUCUUGGAGGGUGAUGAUGACAGAUUUUUUGGUGAAGAAUUCUACACAAAGUUGAUUAUAAAUUAGUCUAUUUAUUUUCAAUAAGAAAAUAACUGAACCCUUUUAUCUUAUUAAAUUAUAAUUUAGUCCUUUGAUUAAAUUAUUAUUUUUUAGCUGUUAAAUGGCUUAAAGGAAUUAAAUGCUGGUUAAUAAUAUAUUUUCAACUUCUCAAUGUCAAGGCCUUGCGUGAAAGUGAAUUCAUGAAAUAGAGAGAGCCCUCUCUAUGAUUUAUAAUGGAUACAGAGAUCCGCUGAACACACCAACGGCUGCAGAGAUCCGCUGCGGACCCGGCAAAACAUGGGAUUUUUUUAUUAAAAAAAUAAUAGCACGGUAAAUAUAAAAAUUUGGCAUAAUAGUAUUGUUUCAAAAAGUUUUAAUGAAAUGGCAUAAUUUUAUCGUGUUGCAUUUUAAACAUAUAAUAUUUAAUAAAUAUUUUUAUUUUUAAACAUGACAAGAUAAUUGUUAUAUUUUAAAAUAGUAAUAUUAAUUAAAUAUCAUGUUUUUGAAACGUGACAUGGUUGAACUCCAAUUUCCAAUCUUAAUUGAUUAACAGGUUAUAUCCAAUUAUAUUAACUAAUCGACUCUUUCACACAUAGAAAAUCAUAAUUUUAUGAAGUUUUUUAUUUUAAAUAUGUUUUUUGAGUCAAAAUUGUUUUUGUUUAACUUAUAAACUUAAAAAUAAACCUUAAUUAAAAUUUUUAAAAAUUAUUAUUCACAUAAUAGUAGGUGAUUUUGAAUAGUUAUGUAUAAGUCUGCCACAACUAAAUGAGAAUCUGUCUCAAACAAAUUACACAAAUGUCCUAGUAGAUACAUUUAUGGACCAGUGAAACAGAUUUAAGUUCAAAAAAAGAUUUGAUGAUGCCAUACUAGAAUAAUAGCUCAAAAAAAUUAUAACUUUUGAUCUAGUUAUUGUAUCACGCUCAAAGUUUUACAAGAAUUUCUAAAAACUGUUUUUUAUAUAUAUAUAACAGUCACUGUGUCGUUAUAUGUACAGUAGAUUUUUAAGAAAUCAAAAAUCCUGUAAAAGACACCCAAUUUUGAUAGUUUAAAAAUUUUCUUGUUAUUUUUAAAAUCAAUUAACUAAUUUUAUUUAUCAUUAUAAACCAAUCGAAUAGUUAAAUUGUCCUAUUUCACCAAGAAAAAUAUUUACUUCUAUGUCGUGCUUAUUGCACAAUUUAUGCGAAAAUAUGUUGCCCUUUCUUGACAUAAAAGCAUAAAAGAGAAUUAGCGAGUUGCCUUCCAUGUUUGGCAGCCAGUCACUCAACUGGACAAUUCAAAACCAUCAAGUCACACGUAUUUUGCAUUCAAAUUAAAACCUACCUCAAAGAAUCUCAAGUUUGCCUCCCUCUCACUCGCUAAGAUUAAAUUUACCCUUACGUUUCAUACGAGGACAAUGCUAUUGAUGAUAAUUAUCCCAAUAGUUUGAACAACUAUUUCAUCCAUAGUUUCUGUAUUUAACUAUUUAUGCAUAUCCAAAUCAUUGCUCGGCAUAAGGUGAGUCCCUGAGCAGAAAUGUUGAAGAGCAGCAUUUAUUUACAAUCCAUAUUACAUAAAUUUGACAAUUUCUCAAAGAUGUAGAUUAAGCUGGAGAACUUCAAAGUUCAGAGUGAGCAGGCAACGCAAGAGAAGAUUUGGUCUUGCUUCCACCUGCAACAAGAGCAUGAAACCUUCUUUAGUCCUUGAAAAACUUCACAGAAUGUGACUUAUAAUAUUAUAACUUUCGGCUAUUGCAUCGAUUGGAAGUCGGAACUGCAAAACUUGUAGAAGAAACCAAAAUCACAUCUCUCAUUGUUUAUUGUAUAGCACUAUGAGUAAGUUUUUGGCCUCCGAUUUUUGGCAUAAAUGACAUAUUAGAUCAAUAGAUGAUUGAAAUAAAAUAAUUAUUGAUGGAAUUUGGAAAAACUGGCAUCGGUUGAGGUGGUAUAAGAACAAUCUUAGAAAACCGAGAUCGGAUUCUAUCUAGAUCAUCAUGCAGCUUGUCAACACAAACCAUAAACUAAGAAUCCAUUGUUGACUUUCUUCGCUAGAAAAACAUUACAAUUCCCCUUCCAGGAUGCUCAAACUUCUGGAUUCAUCACAAUUCUCGAAAUUAAACACAACUUUGAUGGUUGAGAAUGUUUUGGAAAAGAGGAAGCAACACCCCUUCCUGCUUUCAAGUGUCAACCACCAACAGAAAUUACAAUUGCACAUUGAAAGAUUUGCUGAUUGACAUUGUUUUCUAAAAAGUUUGCUCAAUGAAAACUCCAAACCUUGUAUAGGUUGUUAAUGGUCCUAAUACACCAAGCUAAAAGAACCAUUUCCCCUCCCUCCCUUAUAACAAGCAUCAAGCUUCUUUGUUUCCUCCAGUUUCAUGCUAAUUUCUGUUCGCAACUUGGUGCGAGUCGCACGUUACUGCAAGUAUAGAAAGGGGUCGAUUCUUCUAAAAACCAUUUCUUGCAAUCUCACCAAAAACUCUUAACAAGGCUGAUAACAAGGUACACUCAAUGUCAAUCAAAUGCUUGAAACUCUUAACCACCUAUUGGUCCCAAAACCAAACCACACCUACUACUACAAAGCUUCUACAAUUUACUUUCAGAGCAAGUGACAGCGGAUAUAAGGUAGAAUACGUGACCAUCACAUUUUUUUUUAGUGGAAACAAGAAGGAAUCCACGCAUGACUGUAAGAAAUUCAUUGAUGAUGCCUGAAUCUCUCUAGCUAAAUUAUUAACUUCUAAAUCGAAAUUCGACAACUUUAACUAAUAGGUUCAUAAAAUUAUAUCCUAUCUAUAAGUCCCAAAAUCUAAUCAGACCAACGACAAGAAAGCUUCUAAAUUUCCUUUUAGAAUAAGCGAUCAUCAAAUUGUCUGCUGAAACCUAAAAGGAACCCACGGCUCCAUGUGGAUUUUGAUCAUCCCUAAAUUAUCUGGGAACCCCCUAAUCACCACUGCUAAAUCUAACCUCUAAACAAAAAUUCCUUAGCUUUAACUUACAAUUCCCACCAAUUCUCAAUAAACUCAAGCAUCUCAUAACAAAACACAUAAAACCCAUAAAUUUAAACAAUUCAGAGAAAUAAAAUCCUACAGAUCACAACAUUUUACCUUCACAUCGACUCCAAAUAUGUCCUUAGCCCACCAACCUUCUUCUUACAAGCAGGAACAUCCUCGAACUGCUUAGCAGGCAACUCCUCGGAAAUCGGGCCAACAAAGAAACUAAUCAUACCAUCAUCAGCCUUGCUAACUUCAAUCCCAGUAACUGGCAACCAAACAAAGAGCUUCUUUGCUUGAAUCCCUGACACGUCAUGCACAGAGCCAUAACUCAUCUUCCCUUUGAUUACUUUAUCAUAGUACACAACAUCAUCAAAGUGAACAUAACACGGGGUCUUAAGUUUGACUUCAAAAGACCCAUCAGAUGAUGGUAGAGUGAAGGAUUCCACGUUGUCUGGGACUAAGCCACGUGGCAGGCCAUACCGAGGAAGAAGAUCAUGGAUAUCUGAGGUGGUUAGGGAGAGAGAAAGACGGGUUUUUGAUAAGAGGAGUAGAGAGAGAAGGUAGAGAGAGAGAGUGAGGACGUUGAAGGAAGCCAUUGUCGAUGCAGAGAGACAGAGAGAGAAGGGAUGGUGGUAAUUUAAGAGGGUUGUGAUGGGUAGAAUGGGAAGAGAAAUCUGUGUAGCGUGGCUUCGAGGAAUUAUAUAUACUCUCUUUUUUUUCCCGAGUUCCAAUCCUCACAAAAUUUUGAACGCAUGAUAAUAAUACAAGAGUUGCGUCUUUAAAAUUAUUUGAAUAAGAAAUUUAAUCUCCAUUGACGUAUAAAUUGAUCCGAUAAUAUCUCUUCUCAUCGAAUAAUUAUAUAUAUAUAUAAAAGAAAAACAAAUAGUUUUGAACUAUGAAAAUUAAAACGGG
rnacentral:lncRNA from 1 species